rnacentral:antisense_RNA from 1 species
CUUGAGCGAGCCCAGCCACAGCGGCUCAGUACGGUCCUGGCCAUAGGUGGCCAGCAGCGCCUGCGCCUC